rnacentral:pre_miRNA from 1 species
UAUCUACUCCCUCCGUUCGGAAUUACUUGUCGGAGAAAUGGAUGUAUCUAGACGUAUUUUAGUUCUAGAUACAUCCAUUUCCGAGACAAGUAAUUCCGAACGGAGGGAGUACAUG